UUGAACUUACAGGAAGCAGCACAUGAUCUCCAAGUUAGUUACACAAGCUCAAGUGCAAAUUUUGAACAAAAUGAAAUCAAUGAAAUGGUAUUUCAAAAGAUUUAUGGAGCUGAACAUAAUGGUAGGGUGCGUGGUUUGGGAUUAGGCCCUACUCCAAGUAGGUAUUUUAGUGUCAUAUCGAAAUUCACUAGCACAAGUGCUUCAACUACUGACAACAAUCAUAAAGCGGAGUUGGAGAAUGUUAAAUUAGAAUUGGCUGAGAUGAAGGAUAAAUAUGAGAAGCUAAGCUCAGAUUUGGCUGAUAUGAAGGAGUUAUUUGGAGGCUUUAUGGCUGAACGAAGUUUAAAUGAUAGGAUGUCUAAAGCACCCGCCGAGGAAGUUGAAGAUGUUGCAUCUGUUGACUGAUAUCACUGGACAAAAUCUAAACAUCAUGUGGCUCAAGAGAUUUUGGAGAAUUCAUGGUUAAAGAUCAAGAGGGUUGAAGAUGAAGAUACAUGAAGCUUUUUACUUUGUGUAAUUAACUCAAAAAAUAUUUUGUAAUGAAAGUACAUAAAUAGUGUAAACCUCUUACAUUUUGUUAUUACUCAAAAAACAUUGCACUUUAACUCAUAACAUGUCAAUAAAGGUCAAUGAAAUUGAAUUUA